CAAACACCAUAGCCCCAGACACCUCAGCCAUGUAUGCACAGCCCCAAACACCAAAGCUACACACACACAGCCCCAAAACACCUCAACCCCAAACACCCCAGCUGGCCUCCAGCCAGGGCACCUCCUGGCAGCCUGCCCAGCUCCUCUCCCCCAUGUCACCAUCAGUUUUCCAGCAGUAGGUGACACCGGGGGAAGCCUAGGGCUGCUUUUGUGCAUGCUUCAAGACAAGGCUGUCCUUCUGGUGUCACCUUGCCCAUGGUAACUGUAGGCCCCUAGAUGGUAACUCCUGCCCUACAUCUAGGAUUUGCAGUCUUAGCCAACAAAGGCUGGGAUGCUCCUGACUUCUUUGGGGUCCCAUUUUAGGUCUUCCUGAAAUCCUAGGACACCUGGGCUUGUUACUUGUCCUCCCUCCCUAACAUCAUCUCUGUCUUGGUCCUGACUACAUGUUGUUUGAGGGCUUUGGGUACCCUUCUUUUAGUGUGCAAUGGGAACCCGGUUCCUUGAAAAUGGAUCAAAUCUGCAUGCUGGGAAGUCAGUCUCUGAGACGGAAGCCCUCUGAAAGGAGGACCUCAGGCUGAGCAGCCAAAACAGGUCACAUAUCCCUUCGUGAAACCAUUGGACACAGUGAGGAGUGAGGGAUUCAUUUUGUUAAUUCAGCAAAUGAAAUUUUCAUCCUCCAGGGCAAAGCCUGGAUCGCAUCACCUGAGCAUUACCAAAAUCAUUACAAGCGCCACACAGAGCGGGAAGGUCUCACCUGAUGAAAGACGCUUGUGCUAACAGCAACAGGGGGAAGGAGAAAAGAGGAAAUAUCUGGUUUCGAUCAACUCCUUCUUAAAAAUAGAAAUCUGAUUACCAUUGCCCAUUUCUGAUUCCCCAAGGGAGAGCAGGAGAAGAAGAAGGAUCUAUAAAUAGUUUGCAACACAGAGAAUCCUAUAGCAAAGUCGCUGGGAAAGAUCAAUAGCAUGAUUCAAGGAGGGCUCCAAAUUACAUCUCAGGGGAUGGAGGUGCUGAAUGGAAUUGAUAAAUGAGUUGCAAAUGCUGUGUGUGUUGUGUGUAUCUAAUUAACGGAGGGCGACUGGGAUCAAUAGCGACGAAGGAGCUGGUCUAAAAAUAGCACUCAUGAAGGGAUUGCAACCUGCGGGCAACAGCUUGGAUGGAAAUGUCCCCCAGAGUAAUUAACCUUUAGCUGGGAAAUGGUGACUAACGGGGGUUGAGGUGGAGCCUGUGGGCAGCUGGGAAGGGAUGAGGUCUCCAUGAGGCUUUGGGUCACAGAACAGCAUGACAGUCAUGGAGGGUACAGGCAUAGCCACAGGGUUGCAGCCUUCCUCCUCUCGGGCUGCAGGGUCAAGCUGCAGAUUGGCGUAGUGCGUAGUGGAGAAAUAUCCGAGUAUUAGCAUUUUGUUGGGGUUGUGGAGCAGGAAAUAUUUGUAGCACUGUGUACGUGCAAACAUUUCAGCAUUGCUUAGAGAGAAGUCACAGUCACAUCUAUUUACAUCGACGACAGUUUAGGAUUUUCUCCUUGUUUUCUGACCUUGUUGCUGAGAAAAUAUCCAACCUCUCUGAGGACCAGCCCCCGGCGCUGCUCAUCUGGCCUCCCCAGCAAAACUCCGCAUUUGAACCAUGGUGCAAAUACCAUCCAAAGUGUCCCUCAAGCAUUCCGUCUGCAGCGGAGCAGUCAGGCAAACUUCAGGGAGAAGGACUGACGUUGGACAGGAUGAUCGAUGGCUCAGCUCGCAGGCUCUGCUGGAGUGCCAAGCGGAGCUGGCAUCAUCCGAGUUAGAGGCAGACACAUACACCCUGGAACAGAAAGUUCACUGUCAGCCUGAGUGCAGGAUUGGGACCCAGGGGUGUGCAGCAUGGCAGAAAGAAAAGGAAGCCGUAAAGAUGAAGAAUCUAGAAAAUAUCUCUUGGCAAAGCUGGCAUGGAAAGGAUUAGAGGGAUGAGCAAAGAGCUUUUCUCUCUUUAAUAUAAAUGGAGGUGGCUAAAAAAUCCGAGCCAAAAUUUUUCUUUGUAAGGAAAAAAAAAAUCUUUGUGGAAAAGUGCCUCACUGGGGACAUGGACAGUUGUAACACAGCUGCUGAAGGAGCAAGCCCGGAUUAUUCACCAAAAGGAUGCCUAACUCAAAGUGUCAACAAGUAUCUUAGCUCCUCUCAGACUAGUCUGAUUUGUGGGAGAGCAAACUGGUUGGAAGACAGCCCUGAGCUACAAAAUGGUUGCACUGGCUGCUGUGAGCUCUGCUAAACCAGUGUUACACCUACUCCCUUGAGAAGAAGCUAGCGGGUGUGAGAAGUCUCCCACCUUCAAGAGCUCGUGCAUGGCGGAAAGGGUGAGUUUGCUUCUCAGUACACAAGCCAAAGGUCUCUUCCAGAACUGCUGUGAAGGAUUUGGAAGAUGUUUCACUCAAACACAGAAUUUAUAUAUAGGAACAAAGCUUUCGUUAAACAUGAGCAGCUAAGGGGACGGCAUCACGCACUGACAAUAAUGUAUGCCAGUCUUGUAGGCACACUGUAAGAGAAACAGGCUGCCUCGGAGAAAUUAAUACGGCAAAGGUGUUGAUUAUUGAUCAUUUGUUGCAGAAUUGACUCCAUUUUCUGAGCCAAUGUGACUUCCAGAGCUAUUUGUAGCUUCCUGAACACUCGCAGUGUGACUGGCACUUUUGCAUUUGCUGCAGCUGACGCCUCAAUAUAGUAUUUGAUGCAUACUUUAGAUGACUGCCUUGCAUACUGAAACUGCUGCUGAACAAGAACAAGUCUUUGAGGACAGCCCUGGAAAACUAGAAAAAAAAAAA